rnacentral:rRNA from 1 species
AAACUGAAGAGUUUGAUCAUGGCUCAGAUUGAACGUUGGCGGCAGGCUUAACACAUGCAAGUCGAGCGGUAACAGUGGGAGCUUGCUCCCAGCUGACGAGCGGCGGACGGGUGAGUAACGCGUAGGAAUCUACCUAGUAGUGGGGGACAACCCGAGGAAACUCGGGCUAAUACCGCAUACGCUCUUAGGAGGAAAGCGGGGGAUCUUCGGACCUCGCGCUAUUAGAGGAGCCUGCGUCGGAUUAGCUAGUUGGUGAGGUAAAGGCUCACCAAGGCGACGAUCCGUAGCUGGUCUGAGAGGACGACCAGCCACACUGGAACUGAGACACGGUCCAGACUCCUACGGGAGGCAGCAGUGGGGAAUCUUGGGCAAUGGGCGCAAGCCUGACCCAGCCAUGCCGCGUGUGUGAAGAAGGCCUUCGGGUUGUAAAGCACUUUCAGUAGCGAAGAAAAGCUCAGGGUUAAUACCCCUGGGUCUUGACGUUAACUACAGAAGAAGGACCGGCUAACUCCGUGCCAGCAGCCGCGGUAAUACGGAGGGUCCGAACGUUAAUCGGAAUUACUGGGCGUAAAGCGCGCGUAGGCGGUUUGGUCAGUUGGAUGUGAAAGCCCAG